rnacentral:rRNA from 1 species
UACGUAGGCAGCAAGCGUUGUUCGGAGUUACUGGGCGUAAAGGGUGUGUAGGCGGUUGGAUAAGUGUGGUGUGAAAUCUCCCGGCUUAACUGGGAGGGUGCGCUACAAACUGUCUGACUAGAGUGUGGGAUGGGUAAGUGGAAUUCCUGGUGUAGCGGUGAAAUGCGUAGAUAUCAGGAGGAACACCGAUGGCGAAGGCAGGUCUCUGGGCCGAUACUGACGCUGAGGAGCGAAAGCGUGGGGAGCGAACAGG